CCUACGGGCGGCAGCAGUGAGGAAUAUUGGUCAAUGGCCGGAAGGCUGAACCAGCCAAGUCGCGUGAGGGACGACUGCCCUAUGGGUUGUAAACCUCUUUUAUAAGGGAAGAAUAAAUGCUACGUGUAGCAUGAUGCCUGUACCUUAUGAAUAAGCAUCGGCUAACUCCGUGCCAGCAGCCGCGGUAAUACGGAGGAUGCGAGCGUUAUCCGGAUUUAUUGGGUUUAAAGGGUGCGUAGGCGGUUUUUUAAGUUAGUGGUUAAACGUCGGGGCUUCACCUUGAUUUGCCAUUAAUACUGUAAGACUCGAGUUCAGACGAGGUAGGCGGAAUAAGUGAAGUAGCGGUGAAAGGCUUAGAUAUAACUUAGAACUCCGAUAGCGAAGGCAGCGUGCCGUGCCGCCACUGACGCUGAGGCACGAAAGCGCGGGGAUCGAACAGGAUUAGAUACCCUAGUAGUC
rnacentral:rRNA from 1 species